GACCAAGGGUUCCUGUCCAACGUUAAUCGGGGCAGGGUGAGUCGACCCCUAAGGCGAGGCCGAAAGGCGUAGUCGAUGGGAAACAGGUUAAUAUUCCUGUACUUGGUGUUACUGCGAAGGGGGGACGGAGAAGGCUAUGUUGGCCGGGCGACGGUUGUCCCGGUUUAAGCGUGUAGGCUGGUUUUCCAGGCAAAUCCGGAAAAUCAAGGCUGAGGCGUGAUGACGAGGCACUACGGUGCUGAAGCAACAAAUGCCCUGCUUCCAGGAAAAGCCUCUAAGCAUCAGGUAACAUCAAAUCGUACCCCAAACCGACACAGGUGGUCAGGUAGAGAAUACCAAGGCGCUUGAGAGAACUCGGGUGAAGGAACUAGGCAAAAUGGUGCCGUAACUUCGGGAGAAGGCACGCUGAUAUGUAGGUGAAGUCCCUUGCGGAUGGAGCUGAAAUCAGUCGAAGAUACCAGCUGGCUGCAACUGUUUAUUAAAAACACAGCACUGUGCAAACACGAAAGUGGACGUAUACGG
rnacentral:rRNA from 1 species